rnacentral:tRNA from 1 species
AGAGAAUUAGUUUAUUAAAAAUAUUAGUCUUCAAAACUAAAGUUGGGAUAGUUCCAUUCUCUG